rnacentral:rRNA from 1 species
UACGUAGGGUGCGAGCGUUAAUCGGAAUUACUGGGCGUAAAGCGUGCGCAGGCGGUUCGUCGUGUCUGAUGUGAAAGCCCCGGGCUCAACCUGGGAAUGGCAUUGGAAACUGGCGGACUAGAGUGUGGCAGAGGGGGGUGGAAUUCCGCGUGUAGCAGUGAAAUGCGCAGAUAUCGGGAGGAACACCGGUGGCGAAGGCGGUUCUCUGGGCCUGUACUGACGCUGAGGAGCGAAAGCGUGGGGAGCGAACAGG